CAAUAGCGUAUAUUAAAGUUGUUGCAGUUAAAAAGCUCGUAGUUGGAUUUCUGGUGAGAUGGAUUAUGUCUAGGUCGAAAGAUCUUGUUCAUGGUUCGUUUUGCCCUUCUUGUCAGGAACCCGCUGAGAUUCGCGUCUUGUCGGAGGAAUGGCAUCGUUUACUGUGAAAAAAUUAGAGUGUUCAAAGCAGGCAUCGCCGUUGAAUACAUUAGCAUGGAAUAAUAAGAUAAGACUUUGGUGGUCUAUUUUGUUGGUUUGCACGCCAAAGUAAUGAUUAAUAGGGAUAGUUGGGGGUAUUCGUAUUCUAUUGCUAGAGGUGAAAUUCUUAAAUUUAUGGAAGACGAACUACUGCGAAAGCAUUUACCAAGGAUGUUUUCAUUAA
rnacentral:rRNA from 1 species